UACCAGCACCCCGAGUGGUCGGGACGUUUAUUGGGCCUAAAGCAUCCGUAGCCGGUUCUACAAGUCUUCCGUUAAAUCCACCUGCUUAACAGAUGGGCUGCGGAAGAUACUAUGGAGCUAGGAGGCGGGAGAGGCAAGCGGUACUCGAUGGGUAGGGGUAAAAUCCGUUGAUCCAUUGAAGACCACCAGUGGCGAAGGCGGCUUGCCAGAACGCGCUCGACGGUGAGGGAUGAAAGCUGGGGGAGCAA
rnacentral:rRNA from 1 species